AGCAGGAGCAUUGAGAGGUCUGUCUUCCACGAUGGAGAUUUGCUUUCGAAUCAUUGCCGUCUCCUUCCUGACCUUUUCAAAGCAGAAUCCACACAGAGUAUGCUUUAGUUUCAUGUUGCCACACUCUGGACAUGGCUCAAUGUUGUGCUGGUGAAGAGAAGAAAAAAAUGAUAAAUUGCUAUUUACCACAGCUAAGUAUUGCAUUGAAAGUUCUUUUAAUUUGUAUAAUGCUAUAACAUUGAACCAGAGCUGCCAUCCAAACGAUACUGUCCAAGACACUAGAGUUUUCUUCAUUGUUCCUGUGAUGGGACUGAGGAAGAAUCUGGAGACCACUUACUGCCAGCACUGGCCCUGAAGAAAA